UACGUAGGGGGCAAGCGUUGUCCGGAUUUAUUGGGCGUAAAGAGCGUGUAGGCGGCUAGAUAGGUCCGUUGUGAAAACUCGAGGCUCAACCUCGAGACGUCGAUGGAAACCAUCUGGCUAGAGUCCGGAAGAGGAGAGUGGAAUUCCUGGUGUAGCGGUGAAAUGCGCAGAUAUCAGGAAGAACACCCGUGGCGAAGGCGGCUCUCUGGUACGUGACUGACGCUGAGACGCGAAAGCGUGGGGAGCAAGCAGG
rnacentral:rRNA from 1 species